rnacentral:rRNA from 1 species
GGGGGCCGCCCCGGGCGGGGCGGGGGCACGGGGGGAACGCGAAGAACCUUACCAGGUCUUGACAUACUAUGCAAAUCUAAGAGAUUAGACGUUCCCUUCGGGGACAUGGAUACAGGUGGUGCAUGGUUGUCGUCAGCUCGUGUCGUGAGAUGUUGGGUUAAGUCCCGCAACGAGCGCAACCCUUAUUAUCAGUUGCCAGCAUUAAGUUGGGCACUCUGGUGAGACUGCCGGUGACAAACCGGAGGAAGGUGGGGAUGACGUCAAAUCAUCAUGCCCCUUAUGACCUGGGCUACACACGUGCUACAAUGGAUGGUACAACGAGUUGCGAACUCGCGAGAGUAAGCUAAUCUCUUAAAGCCAUUCUCAGUUCGGAUUGUAGGCUGCAACUCGCCUACAUGAAGUCGGAAUCGCUAGUAAUCGCGGAUCAGCAGU